UAGGGAAUCUUCCGCAAUGGGCGAAAGCUUGACGGAGCAACGCCGCGUGAGUGAUGAAGGUCUUCGGAUCGUAAAACUCUGUUAUUAGGGAAGAACAAAUGUGUAAGUAACUAUGCACGUCUUGACGGUACCUAAUCAGAAAGCCACGGCUAACUACGUGCCAGCAGCCGCGGUAAUACGUAGGUGGCAAGCGUUAUCCGGAAUUAUUGGGCGUAAAGCGCGCGUAGGCGGUUUUUUAAGUCUGAUGUGAAAGCCCACGGCUCAACCGUGGAGGGUCCUUGAAAACUGGAAAACUUGAGUGCAGAAGAGGAAAGUGGAAUUCCAUGUGUAGCGGUGAAAUGCGCAGAGAUAUGGAGGAACCCCAGUGGCGAAGGCGACUUUCUGGUCUGUAACUGACGCUGAUGUGCAAAAGCGUGGGGAUCAAACAGG
rnacentral:rRNA from 1 species